AACGAACGCUGGCGGCAGGCUUAACACAUGCAAGUCGAACGCCCCGCAAGGGGAGUGGCAGACGGGUGAGUAACGCGUGGGAAUCUACCCUGAACUGCGGGCUAGCUCCGGGAAACUGGAAUUAAUACCGCAUGUGCCCUGAGGGGCAAAGAUUUAUCGGUUCAGGAUGAGCCCGCGUCCGAUUAGCUAGUUGGUGGGGUAAAGGCCUACCAAGGCGACGAUCGGUAGCUGGUCUAAGAGGAUGAUCAGCCACAUUGGGACUGAGACACGGCCCAAACUCCUACGGGAGGCAGCAGUGGGGAAUAUUGGACGAUGGGCGCAAGCCUGAUCCAGCCAUGCCGCGUGAGUGAUGAAGGCCCUAGGGUUGUAAAGCUCUUUCACCGGGGACGAUAAUGACGGUACCCGGAGAAGAAGCCCCGGCUAACUUCGUG
rnacentral:rRNA from 1 species